ACGGAAGGCAGCAGUGGGGAAUAUUGCACAAUGGGGGAAACCCUGAUGCAGCAACGCCGCGUGAGUGAUGACGGUCUUCGGAUUGUAAAGCUCUGUCUUCAGGGACGAUAAUGACGGUACCUGAGGAGGAAGCCACGGCUAACUACGUGCCAGCAGCCGCGGUAAUACGUAGGUGGCAAGCGUUGUCCGGAUUUACUGGGCGUAAAGGGAGCGUAGGCGGACUUUUAAGUGGGAUGUGAAAUAUCCGGGCUCAACCUGGGUGCUGCAUUCCAAACUGGAAGUCUAGAAUACAGGAGGGGAAAGCGGAAUUCCUAGUGUAGCGGUGAAAUGCGUAGAGAUUAGGAAGAACACCGGUGGCGAAGGCGGCUUUCUGGACUGUAACUGACGCUGAGGCUCGAAAGCGUGGGUAGCGAACAGGAUUAGAUACCCUGGUA
rnacentral:rRNA from 1 species